AGUCGCGUAGCUCAGUUGGUUAGAGCACCACCUUGACAUGGUGGGGGUCGUUGGUUCGAAUCCAAUCGCGACUACCA
rnacentral:tRNA from 3 species